rnacentral:misc_RNA from 1 species
AACAUCGCGCACCUGCGGGAACCUGCGGAAGGAUCAUUAACGAGUUUUGAAACGGGUUGUAGCUGGCCUUACACAAGGCAUGUGCACACCCUGCUCAUCCACUCUCAUACCCCUGUGCACUUAUUGUAGGCUUGGUGGGAUAAGCUGGCUUCGGUCGACUUUGAAAGCCUAGUCUAUGUCUAUUACAAACGCUUCAGUUAAAGAAUGUCAUACUGCGUCUAACGCAUUAAAUACAACUUU